UGCCGGAUACGCAUGGAACCGCAUGGUUCCGUUGUGAAAGGCGCUGUAAGGCGCCACUAAAAAAGAUGAGGGGGGUGCGGAACAUUAGUUAGUUUGGUGAGGUAAUGGCCCACCAAGACUAUGAUGUUUUAGCCGGGUCGAGAGACUGAACGGCCCACAUUGGGACUGAGAUACGGCCCAAACUCCUACGGGAGGCAGCAGUAGGGAAUAUUCCACAAUGAGCGAAAGCUUGAUGGAGCGACACAGCGUGCACGAUGAAGGUCUUCGGAUUGUAAAGUGCUGUUAUAAGGGAAGAACAUUUGCAAUAGGAAAUGAUUGCAGACUGACGGUACCUUGUCAGAAAGCGAUGGCUAACUAUGUGCCAGCAGCCGCGGUAAU
rnacentral:rRNA from 1 species